rnacentral:rRNA from 1 species
GACCCCGCGGUUUGCUACAUCGAUGUCGGCUCUUCCCAUCCUGGGGGUGCAGCAGCCCCCAAGGGUGGGGCUGCCCGCCCAUUAAAGGGGAACGUGAGCUGGGUUUAGACCGUCGUGAGACAGAGAGGUUGCUGGGGCUUGGAUCCGAACAAUAUAUAACUGGGUGUCUCCGCGAAUCACGUGGGAUUACGCUGAACACUAGCCCCGGCGCCUCUCCUCAAAAGGUCGGACUCUACCCGCGGGGGGUGCGGGCCGCCUGAGGGGAAAGUCUGGGUUCUCCAAAUAAUAGCUUCUCAGGGGAGACCCAGACCCCUAAGCUGCCCUCAGUACGAGAGGAACGGGGCGGCGCGGCUUCUGGUUUACCGGUUGUUCUGAGGAGCAACGCCGGGCAGCCACGCCGUAGGGGGUAAGCGCUGAAAGCAUCUAAGCGCGAACCCCUCCCCGAAACGAGGCGGCCGUCCGCUACGGGGCCACCCGUAGCGGUUAGGGUCCCCGUAGAAGACGGGGUUGAUGGGGCGGGGGUGUAAGCUCCGAGAGGCUU